rnacentral:rRNA from 1 species
UCGGAUGGCCCUGUUGCAGGACUAAAGACCGCUUUCUAAUCCAUUGAUCUUCGGAUUAAUAUUCAUAACAUCUGGCCUCAAAUCAGGUAGGACUACCCGCUGAACUUAAGCAUAUCAAUAAGCGGAGGAAAAGAAACUAACAAGGAUUCCCCUAGUAACGGCGAGUGAAGCGGGAAGAGCUCAAAUUUGAAAUCUGGUAGCCUUCGGUUGCCCGAGUUGUAAUCUAGAGAAGUGUUUUCCGCGUUGGCCCAUGUACAAGUCCCUUGGAACAGGGCGUCAUAGAGGGUGAGAAUCCCGUCCUUGACAUGGACCCCCAAUGCUUUGUGAUACACUUUCAACGAGUCGAGUUGUUUGGGAAUGCAGCUCAAAAUGGGUGGUGAAUUCCAUCUAAAGCUAAAUAUUGGCGAGAGACCGAUAGCGAACAAGUACCGUGAGGGAAAGAUGAAAAGCACUUUGGAAAGAGAGUUAAACAGUACGUGAAAUUGUUGAAAGGGAAACGAUUGAAGUCAGUCAUGCUCUUUGGAUUAAGCCGUUCUGCGGUGUAUUUCAUUGAGCGGGGUCAACAUCAGUUUUGAUCGCUGGAAAAGGGCAGGAGGAAGGUAGCACUCUCGGGUGAACUUAUAGCCUCUUGUCGUAUACAGUGAUUGGGACUGAGGAACGCAGCAUGCCUUUUGGCCGGGAUUCGUCCACGUA